UACGGAGGGGGCUAGCGUUGUUCGGAAUUACUGGGCGUAAAGCGCACGUAGGCGGCUUUGUAAGUUAGAGGUGAAGGCCUGGUGCUCAACACCAGAACUGCCUUUAAGACUGCAUCGCUUGAAUCAUGGAGAGGCGGGUGGAAUUCCGAGUGUAGAGGUGAAAUUCGUAGAUAUUCGGAAGAACACCAGUGGUGAAGGCGGCCCGCUGGACAUGUAUUGACGCUGAGGUGCGAAAGCGUGGGGAGCAAACAGG
rnacentral:rRNA from 1 species